GCCUCCAUUUACACAACUGUUCAGCAUCCACAACUUCGUCAGGUAAAGGUUCCAAUAUGAAACAGAUGCCUUUGGCGUUCUGAUUCUUGUCUGAAAAGCGAACAGAAGACAACUACAGGUACCACGAUCCAUCGACCGCCAGCUGCGCGCCUGACAGAGGGGACAGUUUGUAGUGGACAUCGAAGCAGCCGUAUUGUAGGCUAUCCGCCAGAGGAACCCAUACUGCCGGAUCCAGAGUUGUGCAUUCCACUGCUGUGUUCCGGGAGAUCCGGGAGCUUGGUUUACAGCGAGAGAGGUGACAGGUACGUGAUGUGCCCUACCAUUUCUACCUGAGGAGCAGUCGCCUAGACAUAAUGCGACUUGAUGACGGGGCUACGUCUCUGACGCUAUCCCUGAUGGACUACAUUGAACGAACAUGGAUUAGAAGCAGAACAUUCCCAGUCAGUUCCUGGUCCGUGUUAAUGUGUCCAAUACAAACCAACAAUGACGAGGAAGGAUGGGCCGAGUAAACUUUAGGGGACCAGUACCAUUCUACUAGCUCCUUCAGGAACUAACUGUUCCGUGAAACCAUCGCUAGGGCCUAUCGGAUACCUCUUCAGUGUAAGAUGGUCAGUGAGGGGAAGCUGGCCAGAUUCCGGCGAAAGAGUACCAGAGACAUCCAAAAGGAAGUGUUUCGUGUAUGGGGCAGAUUCAUGAUGACCACCGGCGCUCUAUCAACAUCCCAGCUGAUACGUAUAGAAUUGGACAGUUAUUGCAUUGAAAAUAUGUGUUUUGGACUUAACAAUCCUAUAGAGAUCAUAGAGACUAAAGAUUUAGUGCGUAGUUUCAUAUGCUCAGAAAAUAAAUAAAUAAAUAAAUAAAUAAAUAAAUAUAAUA